UGGGGAAUUUUGGACAAUGGGGGAAACCCUGAUCCAGCCAUCCCGCGUGUGCGAUGAAGGCCUUCGGGUUGUAAAGCACUUUUGGCAGGAAAGAAACGUCAUGGGUUAAUACCCCGUGAAACUGACGGUACCUGCAGAAUAAGCACCGGCUAACUACGUGCCAGCAGCCGCGGUAAUACGUAGGGUGCAAGCGUUAAUCGGAAUUACCGGGCGUAAAGCGUGCGCAGGCGGUUCGGAAAGAAAGAUGUGAAAUCCCAGAGCUCAACUUUGGAACUGCAUUUUUAACUACCGGGCUAGAGUGUGUCAGAGGGAGGUGGAAUUCCGCGUGUAGCAGUGAAAUGCGUAGAUAUGCGGAGGAACACCGAUGGCGAAGGCAGCCUCCUGGGAUAACACUGACGCUCAUGCACGAAAGCGUGGGGAGCAAACAGG
rnacentral:rRNA from 1 species